rnacentral:snRNA from 1 species
GGAAGUUGGAUGUGCUGUGACACCUGUCAUCCCAUUGAUCUCCAGAGUUGAUUCCGCUGAUCUGGCUGGCUAGGCAGGUGUCCCCUUCCUCCCUCACCACUCCAUGGGCUUCCCUCCUGAAGCUGCGUGCUCCACUGAAGAGGACAGCCUUCCCGAAUAGAGAUGGACCGGUCCUUCGGUCAAGGGUAUAGGAAUAGCUGUGCUCCCCUGCUAGAACCUCCAAAUAAGCUAUCAAGGGAGAGGGUGGGAUAUGGAGUUCUGGUGGUGGGAACUGUGUGGAAUUGUCUCCCUCUUAUC